rnacentral:rRNA from 1 species
UUCUCCCAUUCCGUAAGGAAGUAAGGUCCCACUAAGACUAAGUGGUAGAUAGGCCGGAGGUGUAAGUGUAGCGAUGCAUUAAGCUGACCGGUACUAAUAGACCGAGGUCUUGACCUUA